rnacentral:rRNA from 1 species
UACGGGGGGAGCAAGCGUUGUUCGGAUUUACUGGGCGUAAAGGGCACGUAGGCGGUCGUGACAAGUCACUUGUGAAAUCUCCGGGCUUAACUCGGAACGGUCAAGUGAUACUGUCGGACUAGAGUACAGAAGGGGCAACUGGAAUUCUCGGUGUAGCGGUGAAAUGCGUAGAUAUCGAGAGGAACACCUGCGGCGAAGGCGGGUUGCUGGGCUGAUACUGACGCUGAGGCGCGAAAGCCAGGGGAGCGAACGGG